CACUCCUACGGGAGGCAGCAGUGGGGAAUAUUGCACAAUGGGCGCAAGCCUGAUGCAGCCAUGCCGCGUGUAUGAAGAAGGCCUUCGGGUUGUAAAGUACUUUCAGCGGGGAGGAAGGCGAUAAGGUUAAUAACCUUGUUGAUUGACGUUACCCGCAGAAGAAGCACCGGCUAACUCCGUGCCAGCAGCCGCGGUAAUACGGAGGGUGCAAGCGUUAAUCGGAAUUACUGGGCGUAAAGCGCACGCAGGCGGUCUGUCAAGUCGGAUGUGAAAUCCCCGGGCUCAACCUGGGAACUGCAUUCGAAACUGGCAGGCUAGAGUCUUGUAGAGGGGGGUAGAAUUCCAGGUGUAGCGGUGAAAUGCGUAGAGAUCUGGAGGAAUACCGGUGGCGAAGGCGGCCCCCUGGACAAAGACUGACGCUCAGGUGCGAAAGCGUGGGGAGCAAACAGGAUUAGAUACCCCAGUAGUCCCAUGAU
rnacentral:rRNA from 1 species